rnacentral:ncRNA from 1 species
CUAACACGUGCGCUACUCAGGGGCUCUCAGGGAAUCUGCAGUGGCGCAAAGAAAAUGAAGGCUGCCUGCUUGCCGGCGGAGGCGGAGGUGGAGGUGAGAUCCCAAGACCUCUCUAGUCCGCCGAGGGCACACCACCGGCCCAUCUCACCCGCCGGACUGGGGAGGUGAAGCAUGAGCGCCACUGUUAGGACCCAAAAGAUGAUGAACCAUGCUUGGGCAGAGCGAAGCCAGAGGAAACUCUGGUGGAGGUCCUUAGGGGUCCUGAUGUGCAAAUCUGUCGUCUAACCUGAGUAUAGCGGCGAAAAGACUAAUCAAGCCAUCCAGUAGCGG